rnacentral:siRNA from 1 species
AGGUGUUAAAUAAAUUAUUCA